UACGUAGGCAGCAAGCGUUGUUCGGAGUUACUGGGCGUAAAGGGUGCGUAGGCGGCUUUUUAAGUUUGGUGUGAAAUCUCCCGGCUCAACUGGGAGGGUGCGCCGAAUACUGAGAGGCUAGAGUGCGGGAGAGGAAAGUGGAAUUCCUGGUGUAGCGGUGAAAUGCGUAGAUAUCAGGAGGAACACCGGUGGUGUAAACGGCUUUCUGGACCGUAACUGACGCUGAGGCACGAAAGCCGUGGGUAGCAAACAGG
rnacentral:rRNA from 1 species